GUGAGGGUGAAGCAGGGAGAAAUAAGCUUUAAUAGCGAUUGUGCCUGUCUUUUCUUUUUGUUGGUACUGCCUGUUCUUCAUAUCCCGAGUGCCAUGCAAAAGUGAAGGGCAUCGAUGCAUAAGCAAGACAGAUCACUGUGAAAGUUCACUGAAGCAGCUCUCUGGUGCUAUCUGCUGCUGCAAAAGCCACGUGUCAACAGAAAGACGGGGAACCGGAGCAGCCACUGGUUGGGUUGUCAGACUACUUCCAGUCCUGUCUGAUGGGUUUUGGUGUUCUUUCCAAGUAACUGUAUUUAACACUACAAGAUUCUUGCUUGAGUACAAUGGUUAAGUAGCACAGGAAAAUGUUUGCAUGAAGGUUAAAUUAGCAUUAGUCAUGUGUGAACAGUCAAGCUUGGAUGUUUCUGAGACAGUUAGCCCCAACAUGUUUUCCUUCAGUCUAUGUUUCUCUCAUCAACUCAGGGUCUGACUGAUUUUUCCAUGUUAAAAAUGUUCAUUGUCACAUGCUGACAUCGCACACUUGACUGUUCACCUGCAUUAUUGGGUAAUAAGAAGAUAAGAAGCGCCAUGAGUCACUCCAGCCAGAGAUGGCGAUGAUGCCGAGCAUUGUCCCACACAGAGGGACCUGUGUUUAGAGACGGCCAGCUUAUGUUGAGGACCUAACAUAUAACACACAAUCAUACACAGGUAUAAUUCACCAUAAUUGUGGGUGCAGCUUGAUUUUCGAAUACGAUAUUAGCUAACACAAUCCUUCAUUUCCGGCCCCUGAACCCCGGUCAUAGCAACCAGCCCAUGACAGGCGGUGUUGCAGCAGCAUGCCAUCCUGCUCACGUUUAAAGCUAUUAAUGACUUUUCUGCUGGACUCUCAGACAAACCACCGCAAGAUGCCGAACUGGGUUGAUGAAUUAAAUUCUGGACCCAUAAAGCGCCUCAUUGAAGAUUUAACUAGCAUUUCACGGAUACUACUUACCUCGUA